UGCCAGCCGCCGCGGUAAUACGAGAGGUCCGAGCGUUAAUCAGAAUCACUGGGCUUAAAGCGUACGCAGGCGGACUGGUAGGUAUCUUGUGAAAUCCCACGGCUUAACCGUGGAACUGCAGGGUAAACCCCCAGUCUUGAGGCAGGUAGGGGUCAGUGGAACCAUGAGUGGAGCGGUGAAAUGCGUAGAUAUUCAUGGGAACGCCAAUGGCGAAGGCAGCUGACUGGGGAGUGACUGACGCUGAGGAACGAAAGUUAGGGUAUCGAACGGGAUUAGAUA
rnacentral:rRNA from 1 species